GACGUCCAGCGCUCAGAAGGCGUU
rnacentral:siRNA from 1 species